CUCCUAAUAUUGCAAUAUUGAAAUAAAGACCUUACUCAGGUUAGAACUCUCUUUUGUGGCCUCCUUGACAGGUAUAUUUCCAUGACAAUUUUGGGGGCUCGUCCGGGAUCACAAACCUGAGCGCGGAAGGCUGCGGAAACUCCAUCCGGACCCGGACAAUUUUAGCAAAUUGGACGGACCUCGGGGGAUAAACUGUUUAUCCUUCCAGAGACACAUCUGGAGAAUUCACGGCUGUUUGACGUCAGACAGUCUUAGCACAGAGCAAGAGGCUUCCAAGUCAGACCAUGGAUCAGCCCAGUCCAAGUUUAAGGACAUCAAGGAACUAGCCAAUGGAUUGUUGAGUAUUUCUACUGUAGUGGUUCAGGCCAAUGACCUCACCACCCACCAAGUGAAAGCAGCCUGGGGAAAGACCAUUCCUGGAGGUCAUGACUUGAGAGAUUGUGGAUUAAAAAGAUACCAUCCCAGAUGCUUCAGCCUAAGUGGGAGGGGCCGUACCAAGUGCUGCUGACCACAGACUCCGCUGUGAAAGUCCAAGGGAAGAACCGGUGGAUUCACGCCUCUUUCUGUCGAUGUGCCCAACCCCCGGUGGAAAAGGAAAAGUCUGCAACAUGAAGACUAUUCCUAUUUUGUUUUCUGUUAUCAGAUUGUGUAUCUGUAUCCAAAAUGAACAUGAACACCAGUCCCGUAAAGGUGAACAUGGAGUUAAUACCUUUUUGGCCCGGUCUUAUCUGACAGCUGAAAAGACAAACUAGAGCGCCUGUUGGGUAUGCACUGCAGUACCAAGAUGUGUGCAAGGGGGGCUCCCCAUGGGGGCUGUCCCGUGGCGCCUUGAAGAAGUUAUAGGCAUGAUCAUAUUGAGAGAACGUACAGGGGAUUUUAACAUGACUGAGUAUGGCGGCUGUAACGAUACUACUGUAAACUGCACCACGCUGCAGUAUUGUAAGGAACGGGGGCUAGAACCCACCAAUUUGCUGGGUCUUAUGGCCCACAAUACAACCUAAGUCAGAAUCUCCCAUAUAUCACCCUAAACGAUAAGCAGAGGGGGGGAUUUGUUUUGAGAACCAUGAAGGUCACUGUAUAAUGGGUUGGAGUAAAUGCAAUCUCACCUCCUAUAUUGGUCUCUCAAAUUCUACUCUUCAGAUCCCUGGGUGGGAUAAGAGCAGUCCUAAGUUUAGUGCAGCUUUCUUGUUUUCUGCUGGAUUAGGAGUGCCUAAUGGAAUGUAUUUUAUUUGUGGGAACGUGCAUACCCAUGGUAACCGACUAAUUGGGGUGGAUCAUGUUAUUUAGGAUAUGUAGCUCACCAUGUCCGGGUUCAGCUUCACAGUCCUUUUGGACCCAACCACAGACCUCGAAGGAAAGUGUCAGACUGGGAAUACCUAGGUAUAGUGCUUCCUGGAGCCGGUAUUAGUUUCUUAAACAGAGAACUAGUACAAAUGGCUUCCACCCUGGAAGAGCUGGCAAAUGUUACCUUCUCCGGACUAAAAGCAAUGCAUGACAAAAUGGUAGCACUAAGGAUAGUAGCAAUGCAAAAUAGGUUAGCAUUGGACUACUUGUUAGCCUCUCAAGGCGGCACUUGUGGAGUAAUUGGUGCAGAGUGCUGUACUUAUUUACCAGAUAACUCUGAGCAUAUCUCAGAGUUGGCCAGAAAUAUCAUAGCUAUUAUCAAGAAAGUGAACUUACAGUAUGGCUGAGGUCUGUGUUUGGGGCCUGGGGUGGAGCUAUGGUUCAAUAUUUGUUUUUAGGAGUAGUGUUGUUUGUAUGUAUAAUUGUUAUAAUCACAUGUAUUAAAAGUAUAAUCACUGCUAUAUGUCACCACAUCACCUCCAGUAGUAAUGUUAGGAUAGUACACAAGUAUGAAGUAAAGACAGCAGACUCCGCAUUUGUGUAGAAAAUGGAAGAUGUAUGUUUCUAUUUUCCAAGGGGGGAUUGAUGGAGCCUGCUAACAGCUUUUACAUGCUGAACUGUAACCAUCAUGCCUGCUUGAUCACAGAGGCUUCCCCCCCUGUACUUACCCCAAAAUAGUGAAUGUUUACCCAAAUGGUGAAUGUUUACACUAAACUCCUUAUGACAAAGGUUUCUAUUUCCUUCGGUUACAUCAAAGACAGGAGGGGGGGAGGAUGUAUAUUUAAGUUCUGUAGGACCAUAUCCCCUUGGAGCUACGAUAGGUACUAUAACUAUUAUGGUCCUUAUUUGUACGCAUUGCAGAGCACAAACAGACAUACACACAAUAACACCUGUGCCAAAAAAUAAGAACAAAAGAAAAGGUUAAAAAUAAGCAGAGGGCAUUUUACAAUCUAGCUAGUUUGAUUCUGAGCUUUCCUUCCAGCUAAUUCUGUAGUAAAGUCAAACUGCAAUAUCGGCAUGGAGGAGGCCAGGGUAUUAUCUUCAACAACAUGGCUAGAUAACUUGUUCCACGGCCUGACAACACAGACAAAAAAAAUGUCUGCUGCUCUCAGUUUUAAAUGUAGUGACAUGUACAGAUGCAGCCAUUCAAA